UAUGUUAUAUUAUGGAGAAAUAACGUGGGCUUAAAAUUACGAGAGAGCAGUAUGUUCUGUUACAUUUUAUAUUGUAGGUGUAUACAUUUGUAAUAUAUUAUUAACAUAAUAAGGUACACUUUAACUUCACGCAUUGGAUAAACCAAUUAACUGUGUUUUACCACAAAAUAACCAUGGUUUUGCUUAUAAUAAUCAAUACACCAAAAAAAACAUGGUUACUAAACUUUUACCACAAAAAAAAACAUUCAUUUUCGUAAGGGGAAUAUGAGUGUUUGUUUUUUUGUAGUUUUUGAGUCAAUUGCAUACCGCUUUUAGCUGUACACAUUAAUUAACUUAAACAGUUUUCGUAAAUGCAUUUCAGAGAAAAGUGAAUUCUGAGAUUUGAAUAAUGCAUCUGACGUGUGUGUCACAACGCACGUAUUUUGAUUUUUACCAGUCGUUCAAGACAGACGGAUUCAGUCCCAAGAAGCUAAAGUUUUUCAAAGACAUUUGUAGGGAGGACUUUGCAGCUAAUGGAGCUGAAGUAUUUUAUGUAAGGAGGAUUUUGCAGCCCAUAUAGGCAAGUCAUUAUAAUGAAAACUCUUAGGGGUGGUUUCCCGGACAGGGAUUAGCUUUAUCCAGGACUAGACCUUAGUUUAAUUAGGAUAGUUUUAACAAACAUGCCUUACUAAAAACAUUACUUAUGUGCAUUACGAUGUAAAACAAAGGGCACUGAUGUAUUUUAAGAUAUGUCAGAGCAAGUUGUUUUCAGUUUGGACAGCUCUUACAUUUAUUUUAGUCUAGGACUAGUCUAAUUCCUGUCUGGGAAACCGCCCCUUAAUAUAUAUGAUGACAUUUUAGUCAAGCUCUAGUUUAGGUAAAAAUAUAUCUGCUAUACAAUCUCUGCCAGUAAACUAUAGAUUUAAUACAGUAAGUCUUAAAUAAAUGUAAUGUUUUAAUAUUAAACACUUUUUAAUUGAGCUUAUUGUCUAUCUUUUUCAGAUUUCCUAAGGCUGAACCAAAACCUGCCAGACUAAAGUUGAUUUGGGAGAGAAAGACGUUGUAAACUUAAUCAUCUUGACAUUCUUCAAUGAGUAAUUGUUCAAUUUUUAGGCAAAUACUGUACAUUUUGAAUGCUGUGAAUAAAACUAUAUUUUAAAUAUAUUUAAAAUGAAUUGUUUUUGACUGUUUUAAUCAGCUUUUAUUUAUUUGGAAAAAAUUAUUUUGGUUAUGUUACCAGCUAAAGUAAUCUAUUCCCAAAAUAGCACUCUUUAAGUUAACUAAUUAUUAAGGCACUUGAAGUAUACUCAUUACUAAUCUAGCUGCAGGUAUGUAAAAGUAUACAAAAUGUAAUGUACUUGGCAUAUUCAUUUUUCACCAGGGCAGUUUUUAGAAUUUUGGAUUGGCCAAAAAUAUAUAGAAUGUAUGCAAACAGUCUAUUUAAGGUAUACUGAUUGUAUGUUUGCAAGACACUCAUAAUACAUUUGUAAUGUACUCCUAACAUAAAUAAAACACACUCUAAAUCCACUUAUCAAGCAUGAAUUUAGCACAAAAACAGUCAUGUACUUAAAUUGUACUAAAUACACUUAAAGUUGUUCCACUUUAGCACACAAAAGUACACUAAAUACACUUAAAGUUGUACUUUGUUACAAUUAAUAUACAACUAAAAUAUAUUAAGUACAAAAUUAGUUGUUCCAAAAUAGCACUCUUUAAAUAAACUAAUCAAUAGCACACUUUAAGUAUACUGGUCAUUAGUGUGACUGCAAGUAUACUUA